rnacentral:rRNA from 1 species
CUGAUGGCGAGUGGCGAACGGGUGAGUAAUGCAUCGGAACGUGCCCAGUCGUGGGGGAUAACGCAGCGAAAGCUGUGCUAAUACCGCAUACGAUCUAUGGAUGAAAGCGGGGGACCUUCGGGCCUCGCGCGAUUGGAGCGGCCGAUGUUAGAUUAGGUAGUUGGUGGGGUAAAGGCUCACCAAGCCAACGAUCUAUAGCUGGUCUGAGAGGACGACCAGCCACACUGGAACUGAGACACGGUCCAGACUCCUACGGGAGGCAGCAGUGGGGAAUUUUGGACAAUGGGCGAAAGCCUGAUCCAGCAAUACCGCGUGCAGGAAGAAGGCCCUCGGGUUGUAAACUGCUUUUGUACGGAACGAAACGGCGCGCUCUAAUAAAGUGCGCUAAUGACGGUACCGUAAGAAUAAGCACCGGCUAACUACGUGCCAGCAGCCGCGGUAAUACGUAGGGUGCAAGCGUUAAUCGGAAUUACUGGGCGUAAAGCGUGUGCAGGCGGUUUUGUAAGACAGGCGUGAAAUCCCCGGGCUCAACCUGGGAAUUGCGCUUGUGACUGCAAGGCUAGAGUACGGUAGAGGGGGGUAGAAUUCCGCGUGUAGCAGUGAAAUGCGUAGAUAUGCGGAGGAACACCGAUGGCGAAGGCAGCCCCCUGGACCUGUACUGACGCUCAUGCACGAAAGCGUGGGGAGCAAACAGGAUUAGAUACCCUGGUAG